UACAGAGGGUGCGAGCGUUGUUCGGAAUUACUGGGCGUAAAGCGCGCGCAGGCGGCUUCUUAAGUCUGUCGGUCAAACGCCGGGGCUCAACCCCGAGCUCGCCGGAGAUACUGGGAGGCUGGAGACACGUAGAGGCAAGCGGAAUUCCGGGUGUAGCGGUGGAAUGCGUAGAGAUCCGGAAGAACACCAGUGGCGAAGGCGACUACCUGGCCUGUUCUUGACGCUGAGGCGCGAAAGCUAGGGGAGCAAACGGG
rnacentral:rRNA from 1 species